GCACAGGUGCUGCAUGGCUGUCGUCAGCUCGUGUCGUGAGAUGUUGGGUUAAGUCCCGCAACGAGCGCAACCCUUGUCUUUAAUUGCCAGCAUUCAGUUGGGCACUUUAAAGAGACUGCCGGUGUUAAGCCGGAGGAAGGUGGGGAUGACGUCAAGUCCUCAUGGCCUUUAUGCCCAGGGCUACACACGUGCUACAAUGGGUGGUACAAAGAGAUGCCAACUCGCGAGAGCGCGCCAAUCUCAGAAAGCCAUCCUCAGUUCGGAUUGGAGUCUGCAACUCGACUCCAUGAAGUUGGAAUCGCUAGUAAUCGCGGAUCAGCACGCCGCGGUGAAUACGUUCCCGGGCCUU
rnacentral:rRNA from 1 species